UGGGGGCAGUGCCCUGGAACGGGACGCCGCAGAGGGUGAGAGCCCCGUACCGCCCAGUGGACCGCCGCCGCACGAAGCGCCUUCGACGAGUCGAGUUGUUUGGGAAUGCAGCUCUAAGUGGGAGGUAAAUUUCUUCUAAGGCUAAAUACCGGCCAGAGACCGAUAGCGCACAAGUAGAGUGAUCGAAAGAUGAAAAGCACUUUGGAAAGAGAGUCAAACAGCACGUGAAAUUGUUGAAAGGGAAGCUCUUGCUGCCAGACGUGCCGCGGUCGUUCAGCCGCCCCCUGGGGUGGUGUACUCGGUCGCGGCGGGCCAGCGUCGGUUCGGGCGGUCGGAGAAAGGCCUAGGGAACGUAGCCCCCCGCGGGGGGUGUUAUAGCCCUGGGCGUCAUGCGGCCAGCCCGGACCGAGGGCCGCGUUCGCGAGGACGCUGGCGUAAUGGUCGCAAGCGACCCGUCUUGAAACACGGACCAAGGAGUCUAACAUCUGUGCGAGUGUUCGGGUGUCAAACCCGUGCGCGUAAUGAAAGUGAACGGAGGUGGGACCCCGUCUGGGCGCACCAUCGACCGAUCCUGAUGUCCUCGGAUGGAUUUGAGUAAGAGCAUGGCUGUUGGGACCCGAAAGAUGGUGAACUAUGCGUGUUUAGGGUGAAGCCAGAGGAAACUCUGGUGGAGGCUCGCAGCGGUUCUGACGUGCAAAUCGAUCGUCAAAAAUGCGUAUAGGGGCGAAAGACCAAUCGAACCAUUGACCGAAGACACUCUUCCGCUACUAGGUGGUUGAGAGACCCCCCACACAGGGGGGGUCUAGUGUGCCCAAGGGGGGGCUCGUACCCCCCGGGCAGCGACGUCGUCCAACUGCAGGAACGCGCCCAAGCGUGCCUGGGCUACCGCGACCUUGGCCGGACCCCUCUAUCGGGGGGCCUAGAACGAGGCUCGCACCGCCCCUAGGAGGGGUGGACAUGGUAAGAACGCCCGGGCGUGGGGCCAACCCGCAGCCACGCUGAUAGGGGGCUGGCCCCCUCAGGAGCCCCCUAUCGGCCCCGUUCACAGACUAAACGGCGACGGGUGCCGCGAGGCGCCAGAGAGAUAGUCGCGACAGGAAGAGAGAACCCCCUCUCCAGGAGGGGGUUUUCACUCGCGGGACGCCGAGCGCUAGUAGCUGGUUCCUGCCGAAGUUUCCCUCAGGAUAGCAGUAACGUAUUCAGUUUUAUGAGGUAAAGCGAAUGAUUAGAGGCCUUGGGGUUGAAACAACCUUAACCUAUUCUCAAACUUUAAAUAUGUAAGAAGCCCUUGUUGCUUAGGUGAACGUGGGCCGUCGAAUGCACCGUUACUAGUGGGCCAUUUUUGGUAAGCAGAACUGGCGAUGCGGGAUGAACCGAACGCGAGGUUAAGGUGCCGGACUGCACGCUCAUCAGACACCACAAAAGGUGUUAGUUCAUCCAGACAGCCGGACGGUGGCCAUGGAAGUCGGAAUCCGCUAAGGAGUGUGUAACAACUCACCGGCCGAAUGAACUAGCCCUGAAAAUGGAUGGCGCUUAAGCGUGCGACCCAUACCUCGCCGCCGGGGCAGGACCGACGCCCCGGCGAGUAGGCAGGCGCGGGGGC
rnacentral:rRNA from 1 species